rnacentral:rRNA from 1 species
AUUGAACGCUGGCGGAAUGCUUUACACAUGCAAGUCGAACGGCAGCAUAGGUGCUUGCACCUGAUGGCGAGUGGCGAACGGGUAAGUAAUACAUCGGAACGUGCCCAGUCGUGGGGGAUAACGUAGCGAAAGUUACGCUAAUACCGCAUACGAUCUAAGGAUGAAAGCGGGGGACCGUAAGGCUUCGCGCGAUUGGAGCGGCCGAUGUCAGAUUAGGUAGUUGGUGAGGUAAAGGCUCACCAAGCCGACGAUCUGUAGCUGGUCUGAGAGGACGACCAGCCACACUGGGACUGAGACACGGCCCAGACUCCUACGGGAGGCAGCAGUGGGGAAUUUUGGACAAUGGACGCAAGUCUGAUCCAGCCAUUCCGCGUGCAGGACGAAGGCCUUCGGGUUGUAAACUGCUUUUGUACGGAACGAAAAAGCUCUUACUAAUACUAGGAGUCCAUGACGGUACCGUAAGAAUAAGCACCGGCUAACUACGUGCCAGCAGCCGCAGUAA